GGGACGGGGCCGCCCCGCGAGGGACGGCGCCGCCCCGGGGCUCGUGAUAUCUUAUCUCGCCGCCCCGUCGCGAGGCGGACGGAGGGAUGGAUGAGGUUACCUGGAAAAAAUCGGGGCGAUCUAGGCGGGCGAACCUCGCCAACGAACGAUCGGACAUGGGAUAACGGAAGAGGGCGUCGGCUCGACUUCGUCGGUUCCUCGGGCCGAGGCACGUACGGUGAAUAGGGACGGUCGGGGCCGCCCGUACCGGGUCGUGAGAGGUGAAAUUCUAGGAUCGACCCGAGACGAACUGCCGCGAAAGCAUUCGGCAAGGACGCUUUCAUUAAUCAAGAACGAAAGUCGGGGGAUCGAAGACGAUCAGAUACCGUCGUAGUCCCGACCGUAAACGAUGCCGACCGAGGGCCCCGGAGGAGUUACGUACGACCCUCCGGGCCCUCCCGCGAGAAAUCAGGAGUA
rnacentral:rRNA from 1 species